GGCCCAAUGGUCUAGUCGUAUGAUUCGCGCUUCGGGUUUUCUGACGAAUUUGUGCAAUAAGUCCAAAUUUGCCAAGUCACGUGCGCGAGGUCCCGAGUUCAAUUCUCGGUUGAGCCC